rnacentral:lncRNA from 1 species
UUGUUAUCUGUGACGGAGUAUUAUGAUACGCUAGAAGGCUUAUGACUAGAACUGGACCACUAUCAAUGGUUCAUAAUGGAAUCUGUUGCUGUUCAACUGCAGAAGUUGAUUGAAGAAGACAGGAAUUUUGCGUUCCUGGCUGGUUUAAAUCCUGAACUAGAUCAAGGGUUCAAGUUCUUGGAAAAGAACCUUUUCCCUCAAUGAAAGAAGCAUGUGCCUAUGUACAUGCAGAAGAGAGUCGUUGGAUUGUGAUGUUGGAAAAACCAUACAUUGAGAAUUUGGCUCUUGCAAUUCCCAAAUCCAAUAAUUAUUAUACAACCGAGAAGUAAGGAGGAAGGAGAUGGAAUGAUUGAAUGAAAAUAGCACUAGGUGGUGUGAGUUUUGUACCAAACCUCAACAUACACAAGAGACCUAUUGGAAGAUUCAUGGAAAGCCCUCUUCCAUUGGGAAAAAUGAUGGAAAAUAAGAGCAGUCUGACCAGAGACAAAAUCAGGAUUUUUUAGUGGAUAAGAAGGAAGAAACUUCUAUGGGUAGUCAAGGGUUUGGAGGAUCUAAUGAGGAGGAACUACCCGAAAAAUUAAAGUGCUUACUAGACCAAAUGAACACUUCCACAUAUGUUCAACAAGGUGAUAUCUCUAAAAGUCAGUUGGUCAAGACGAACACUAGGAAGUGUGUUCUCAAUAAGUGGCACAUGGUCUUGGGUUUAUAUCCUGUCACUAAUGAUACCCUAAAUUUACCCGGUACUGGUUGUUGUGGGGUGGUCAACACUUUGAGUUUUGGGUCCCUCAUAGAGACUCCUAAGGGCAUGACCAUGAAAGGUUCUUUGGUUAUCAAAAAAAAAAAAGUCUCUAAAGGCUUAAUUACUUUUUCAGUUUGUUAUUCUGACCCUUGGAUUCCCAAGUGGUGGAUUGGGUGCACAACACCUGAAUUUCUAUAUGAAGGUAUUUUUUUUCAUGUUACAAGCACUUAGUUUCCUGAAUCCAACCUAUUGGCAGCUUUGGUAAAGCUCUAUCUUCCUUGGACACUCUUGUCAACUUACCAUACUAACUGAAAAGGGUCAAGAACCAUCAAAAACCUUUCAGAAAAUCCUUGAUUGCAGCAGCUUCAAAUUGGAGAACCUCAUGCUCUCCCUGAGAUAAUAAGAAUUAAAAAAGACAUGCAAUACUUAAAACCGUCUCUUUUGGAUGGUUUGGAAGGAAAGAAACAGGAUUGCGUUCGAAAAUAAGGAGUUUUCUGCUUAAAGAAUGAUUUUUUUUUUUUUGUUUGUUUGUAGUUAUUGAUCUUGGACUAAGUUGUUUAUAGAUGUAGGUCCUUUAUCUUUAAUCGACUUUUUUUAUCGGUUGGGUACUAGAUGAGGGUGGGUAAGUCUGAUGGUUAUUUUUCUUUGAUAAGCUAAAUUUCCGAGCAUGAAUAAUUUUUUCCCUCAUAAGUGAGAUAUUCUUAGAAUACAGAGCUAUCAAACCUAUCUUUUCUGUUCAGUAGUAAGUCUCUCACAUAUCCUUGGCUUGAAAAUUGUUGUUAUUUAUUUAUUUGUUUAUUUAUUUGUAAAUAACCUCCAUUUUCAGUUCUCAUUCAUAUCUGAUCAUCUACCUUUUGUAGGAAUAAACGACCAGAAUUUACUGCAUGGUUGGCUGAAAUAAAACAGGUAUUCUACUUUGCUGUCUGCUUACCUCUUAUGAUACCAAAAACAUGUUCUCUGUGGAGAACAUAAAGAUGUGAACUUCGUGAAUAGUGAUGUCCUGGAAUGCAUCCUUUCUUACAUUAAGAUGUGGACUUUUUCUCAAUUCGUAUGUUAAUUGAUCACACAUAUUGAUUGACCAACUAUGAGGAAACACUUUGAAACGUCAAGAGUUGUGUGGGCACAAGUCCCGUUGAUUUUGGUUGUGAAAUUUUGGAAAUCAGACCCACUUAUGGGUGUCCACACAAUGAUGUGGCACGUGCAUCAAAUGCAAGUUAUAGAAUUUUAUUUUAACAGAGCAUAGGAGACCAAAAGUGGUUCUCUUGCUAGCUCCUUAUCUCUAUAACUGGCAUUAAUUAUUAUGUCUUUUGUCUUGAUUCUGAAAAUUGCAAUCUGAUUUCAGCCUCAGCAAACUGGACAUAAUUUUUUUUGUAAGAUUGAUAUGGUUUCAUGGUAAGGUCUCUUAGGAGAUCUGCUUUAUCAUCAAUCAAUUCUUCAGGUUUUGCAAAUGAUUUGGAGAAUAUCAACAUACAAUAAUUCUUGUGAUUGUUUCACAGGUGAACCUGGAGAGUCUGCCUAACUGGGAGGAGAAGCAGAUGUUCAAAGAGUAAGCGUAGCUGUUGAUUGCAUUCAGGGUGCUUUUCAUUAAAAAGCAUUCCUGAAAUAUUAGUUAAGAUAUGUGAACUUCAGAUAAGAAAAUUCUAUUUUAAAUUAAGACUAUCUUAUAUCUAACUGUGUUACUCUGUGUACAGAUUUAUGGAGGACCAUAACACAGCUACCUUUACUUCCAAAAAGUAAGGCUCUCCAGCACUGUUUCACAUGUUUUUUUUUUUUUUCAUUCUGUAUUAAAGAGUUUGUGUUUGUUGGCCUUUCAAAGAAUAACAUCUGGUUUGAAAUAAGAAAUAUCUGGAAUGACUGAAUGGCAAUGGCAAUACCCAAAAUGGGUUUAAAUAGAUUACAUGAUUGAGAAAAUGUGAAUUCGAACUAGUAUCAAAGAUAUCAAAUCUAAUAAAUCCACAAGGAUGUAACACCAGAAUAUUCUUCUAUUAAGCUGUAUCCUAAUGAAAUCCAUUUAGACGUGAAUCAAUACCAAAUGAUAUGUUGUUUGCUAGUAGUCCACACCAUAGGGCAACUCUGUCAAAUUUCCAUUUAUUCCAUGUUCCCCCUCAAAUUGAUGCCAACUGAUCUCAUCUUCUUCAACCUAAGAAUUUAAGCAUGGUACUGGUAUAUGCAGUUUCGUUAAGGCCAGUAGCAAAAAUCAUCUCUUCUACAUCCUUUACUCUCUUUAAACUACAGCUGAUUCACAACCUUUGCCUAUUCACACACCUGCUGUUGGGGUCAUCUUCAUAACACAAUAGAGUCUCAUCUUGAUAUAUUAAAUUAUCCUGUGGGGAAUGUUCAACUCUUUUUUCUUGUGUGUUUACAGAAAAGCAAAAAUCUUUUAUCCCCAUAUUUGCUACUCAUCUUGAUAUGACGAUCAGUAUGAUGCACAUGAACAUAUUCUGAAGGUAUAAAUCAACACAUACGAUGUCACAGAUGACAAAAAUUUGUUUCAAUGUUUGUGGUUGCAGAUAUUAUAAUAUUGAUGCUUAUUAUAGACAAAAGAUGGAAAGGGAAAUGAAAAAAGGUUCCAAGAAAGCUCUGGAAACUGAACGUACCGUAUUCAAUGAUGAAGAACAACGACGGUAUGUUCUAGUGUAUGCUGCAUUCUUUGAAUUAUUAUAAAGUUGAAAGUAAUCUGGUACCAUAUUGUCAUCUGAAGAAAAGAUGCUAAGAGGAGGAUUCAUGCUUUCAGAUAUUGUUUCAUAAAUAUUUUCUCGAGUACAUCUAUGCUUUCAGUGGGAUUUUUGUGUUCACUUGCUUUCUAUGAGUUUAUGUUGGUCUUUGGUUCAAGUUAUAUCUAUGUUUUCGUCAGUACAUCUAUGGUUUCAUAAAUACUUUCUUUAGUGUAUCUAAAUUUUCAGUGGGGUUUUUGUGUUCACUUGCUUUCUAUUUGUUCAUGUUGGUCAUUGGUUCAAGUUAAAAUACUGAACAUUUGAACAAUGGUACUCUUUGAAGUAAUAAAAAAUGGUAAGAGUGUGCCCGGGAACUCUUCGCGAAGUACCAACGCUUGGCGCUUCGUAUAUGAUUUGUUGAUUAACAUUUAAUAUGCUUUUUUAGUUUGCUGUUGAAUGCCGUUCUCCCUAUCCUUGAUGAGAGGGCACUUUGCAUAACAUGGUAAAGGAAUUGCUUUUUCUUAUCCCAUUCUUAACCUUGAUCCUGAAAUUGUGAAAGGUUGCUGAAUUGGACGCCUCUUGUUUUAUAAAGCAGGAAACAGUUCUUUCUGAGGUUAGGUUUGGUUUUACAAUGUCUUAUGUGAAAAAUUAUAUUCCCUUUAAAGGGGUCUCCAGUCAGCUUUGUGUGAAUAUACAAGGGGAUGAAGAAAUUACUUGUUUACUUUUAUUUUUUAAAUACUGGGAAAAACGAAUUGAUCAAAAUGUACAGGAUAGUUUUCUCUACCCUGCAAGCAAAGAAUUCUGUUAAACUUUGUUUCUAUUAAUUGUGCAUUACCCUUAUCUAAAAUAAUUUUGACCAGUUUAUGUUAUAAAUAUUACUUCCUAACUGUUUAUAUGUGCUAGUGUCUUCAGAAUAAUAUUUUCCCUCUGUCAAUACCCUUCUACAGGUUAUAUGCCCAUUAAGGGGGUAAAUAAGGGGGAGGAGAGAGAUAUCGUUUUAUAGGUUAUAUAUAUAUAUCCAAUUAAUUUUGCUUCCAGGCAACAUUCAGGCCUUAUUCCUUGAGGCUCAUUUCAAUGCAAGCCUCAUGGAAAAUUGAAAACACAAGCUUCAAGGUGUGAGGUCCUCAAGUCUGCACUGUUUCUCAUAAAAGUAACUAAGUUUCUGUCAAAAAACUCAGUUGAGGGAUAUUUUAGUUGUAAAAUUUAUAACAUUGUAAUCUCUUAAAGCAAUCAUCUAGGUCCUUCUCUAGACAUGAUUCAGUUGGAAUUGGGAAUUUUAUUUCACUUAUUUUCACUAGGAGCGAAAAACUUUCUUUUGAAUAGCCUAGGCAUGUAAAAUUUUAUUGUAAACUUCCUUGCCUGGACUGGGUCUGUUUUCCCAAACCUUUACAACUAUUACAUUUUUGAUCAUGUAGUUUCAUCCACUUUUCAGGUUAGAACUGCAACGAGAACGUGAAAGGUACAAGGAAGUACAAGUGGAAGAAUUAAAACGCUCUAUGCAGAGUGGAAUGGUUAGUUUUUACUCAAUAUUCCUCCAGGCUCCAGAUAUAACUAUAUCUUGCUUCUGGCCCUUGAGGCCUGGCUCAAUGGUAACGGGCUGGGGUGGGUUUAUGGGAGGUUCAGGUUUAAGUUCCAAUGUUGACAAAAAAAGAAAACUAUACUUUGCUUCUGAUAAAAACUCCCGCUGGCAAUUAUGAUUUCUCAUCUCUGUUAUUUCAUUUGAACUCCCAGGCACAGGCAAUGAAAGAGCAAGCUCAGCUCAGGGAAGAGAUGGCUUACCAGUACAAAGUUGGCAACUCUGAGGUGAGCUCAAUCACCCAAUUCUUGGAGUGAUUUCCAAUCAUUUCUGCUUAUUGUUCUUAUUUUGUGCCCAUUUCUAUCAAUAGGCUGCAGCUGCCAUCCAGAGAAGAUUGGACCCAGAUGUUGCUAUGUGAAAGAGCAUCUGGCCAUAGUCUUGGGAUGGAAAUUCCGUCAUGCUUGAACACCUUGCAUUAGGAUGUGAGUUUGUAUGGAUCCCUUCUGUUAGGCUUACUAAGGGGAACUAUUUUGACUUCUUUCCUCCUACAUAGAAAAUACAGCAGGGUUCAAACUUAUGUUCUAGGUUCGACUAUUUUGGUGCUCCUUUCCCAGUUUUGUUUUAACUGCUUCCGUGCCACAUGAAAUACUGAUUUCAAUUGCUCCUUCGGGCUUAACCGCUUAUUAGAAGAGAUAGUGUCUGUAUUCUUUUUUCUGGGUUCUACAGCAUGUUAAUUUGUCAUGACAUGUAACUGAAUCUAUGUUGGCUUAAUCGUUUUAUGAUUUAACAAUUAUGAUUGUUGUGACUUAUAGCUGAAUCUAUAUUAGUCUAAUCUUAUAUUUGAAAACACCAACGUGGGGAAAGGUACAGGGCCCGGUUCUGAUCCAUGAUGAAGAGAGGGGUUUGGUGGGAUUAAGAAAAAAGAAAGAGCAUGGAAGUCAUGGAUGCAUUCAAUUUUCCUUUUAAACAAACAGACCCAUAUAGUGAAUUAGCUUGUAGCCAGAAAUGAAAACUGUACCAGAAAAGGUUUUGAAUAUUCAUGUAUGCAUAUUGAAUGAGUAGAUGUAGACCAUAUCAGAAGGUACUCAUCAAGUAUUCUACUCACUUAAAAAAAUAAUCCAAAGAUGGAAUCGUUUCGAAACAUCUAUUUUUUGGUUUAUUAAUAAUGGCAGAAGCUGACUAGGACAGUAACCUUUCCUUUUAUCCCAAGCUGACUAAGAAGAUUAAAGCACUAAAUUUUCACAAUCAUAGCAAAAUUAUUUAUAUAUAUAUAAUAAUUUUAAAAAAAAUAUUUAAAUAUAUAUAUGUGUGCGCGCUUCUAAUUCAUAAUAUUUUAGCCAAAAUCAAAGGAAGCAGGAUAUAGGAAACGGCCGCAUCAAAGAACGCGCUGGAAGGAAGAAAAAGAGGACGUCUGGCUCACAUCCUGCCUACGUAGUAACUAGUAAGUACCCAUUUUUUAUAAGGUUUACCUUUUAAAAAACUCGAAAAUAUGACAACAGCUUUGACUGCUAUUCUGAUUUAAGUAAACCGGCUGGGCAUCCUGCAUCGAUGACGAGGCGCAGCACCAGUGGCUACUGCCUAUUUCUUGGCUCCAAUUUGAUCUCUUGGUCAUCAUCCAAACAAAAAGUGGUAUCCCUAUCCGGAACCAAAUCAGAGUAACGUUGGGUAGUAAGUGGGGCCACUGAAUCCCACUCGACGUCGUCUCAUUCUCUGUAUCGAUAUCAAAGCCACGUACUUAGCUGCCAAUCCUAUUUUGCAUGACCGAACCAAACACGUGGAAAUUGACUACCACUUUGUCCAGGAACGUUUCUUCUUCGACGCUCUCACCGUGUCCAAUUCACACCUGUACAGUUGGUUAGGAUUUCUAUUUUCUGCUUGUAUGUAGUAACUGUUCUGUUAUUGUAGAAUACACUGAUGAAGGUAUAAGAAUACAUGAGUUUCUUUGUGGAUGGCUGCCAAGUCAUCUUCCCACUUGAUGCUGAAGAAUUUCACUGUCCCAGCUCAAUGUAGGGCCAGGCUGGCCAAGAUUCCUAGAUGGUUGACUUGACCUUAUUUGACACUGAAAAUAUAAGACCCAAAGUUGAGCCAGGCAAGGCAAGCACAUCUCUUAUUAAUUAUACUACAUUCUGAUUGAUUGCCCCAUCCCAUGCUCAUCCUGCCCACAAGCCUUUAACCCAUGGAUUCCAAAUUCCACCUCAACUUAGGGAAGUUUAAUUGGAGUAUGAGUCACGGUAGACUUUCAACAAAGUUUGAUAAUGAGGUGGGAAGUGUUUAAAAAAUUAUGUUUGGAAAAAACAAAUAGGAAGAAACGCUCUUUUUAUCUACUUACAAAGGGUGAAAGAAAACUCCAUGACUGGGGUAUUACGUGGGCACCAACCUCAUCCAGAGGGCUGUCAAUCUAUAUAAAGGUGCUGUAUACUAUAUCCCGUAUACUUAACAGCUUAGCACUGGUUUUCACCAUGAAUGCGUUGAAGAAAAUGAUGGCUAUCUCACUCUCUCUCUGGUUGAUUCUGAUCACCCCGGCUCUGGUGGGAGGUUCUAGGAUUCAUAGCAGCUCGAAGGAAGCGGCUCCUGUGGGAGGUUCUGGGGUUUAUGGCAGCUCUAAAGAGGCAGUAAGGGCACGGGGGCCUGUUCCAUCAUCUUCUUCUUCUUCUUGCACUCACAUCGGCAUUGGCAAUGGAAACUAUCGGCCCUGCCCCCCAUCCACUGAUCCAUGAUGAUGAUGAUGAUGAUGAUGGAUGAUGCCCAUACUAUGGACUAUUGCUUUUUGAGAUUAUCUAUUUCCUGCUGUGUAUGUGAAAGUACGAUGAUGAUGAUGUUGUUAUGUGCUUGUGUUAUGCACUUCAUCUGCUAUUUUUAAUAUAUUGCACUUUAACCCCAUGGUGCUUGAGCUGGAAAGGGUGUAGGAAAUAAAAUGUCUUUCAAAUAGCCCAUGUGAGAGCCCAGCCGCCCCAAGUUUCCAGAGCCCAUUUUAGCCCAAUAAGAUAGGAAAGAUCCAAGCCCGAACCGGCUCGAUUCACCGAGAUAACGGUUGGAUCGCCGGGCUGACCGCUUCAGCAGCGGUUCGAUUGCACCCCCGGCUCAAUGUCCGACCCGGACCGGAUCAGGCCCCGGUUGACGGUUGGACCGGUCCAACCGGCCGAUCGUUUGGUUUUUAAAGCAUUGAAUUUUUCACACGUUGAAGGCCACGUCAUCUUUCCCCUUCGUCAAAUUAUUCCUUCGUUUUCUUCUCUGUUAUUCUCUUUUGGUUGAUUUGGACCUGCAGAUUGUACCAAAGUUGAGAUCGGCGACUCUUGAUCUGCAAUUUUGCAGGCGUUGGGCUGCAGGCGUCUUGAUUAAAAAAAAAAAAAAAAAAAAAGACCCUAGAAAAGUUACACAGAAACACUCCACAUCUUAGCAUAAUCUAAUAGAAGGGAUAACGGAUUAAAUGGGCUCAUGAUAUUGCAAAACUAACCCCCAACUUUUAAUACACCCAAUUCAGACACAAAUACCCCCAACUACUUCAAUCCUCAUCCUAAUUAUAUUUACCUCCCUUCAUUUUUAUUUUUUAUUAUUAUUCUUUCUUCUAUCACAAAUACCCAUCUCUCUUUCCCAUCAAGCCAAGCCCCGGAGACUUGAGACCAAUACCAAAUUCCUUUUGGGCCAUUUGGAACACAACAUGGGUUCAUCACUUUUCUUUUGAUUUUCAUUCUAUUAAGAUACACUUCUUUUUUUCUUUGUUUAGUUUUUUCCCUUUUUUUUAUUUCAUUAGAUUCCUUUGUUUAUCGAGAAACCACAUUUUAUUUUAUUUUUGGUUUCCAAAUCGAAGAAAAAAUGCGGCACCUAAAGUUGAUUUUCCUUUCCUUUUUCUUAGGUUUCUUGUGUUUUUCCUCUUAUGUCAAUGUUAGAGACUUCCCUUUUUAUUUUGGUGAAAAUGGGGUUCAAGUAACUAAUUUUACUUCUUCGAUGUCUCUAGGAGUACUACUCAAAAUUUGGUCACAUAUGUUUGUUCAUAUAAAUUAGGAGUCAAAUCUUACUUUAUCAUAAUAACAUGGAGCAAAACCUUGGUGAGUCAAUGCCUUGGUAUUAAAAUCGAUGAUUGGAUGAUUUAGUGUCUCUGUGAAUUUGAUAUAAAGUCAUUGUUGUUCACCAAAAGAAAAGGGUCUAAGAGUUUUGAGAUUAAUUUCAUUCAAGUUGACAUAUAUUAGGACCUCUCUUUGGCAAAAUUUGAAUUUUGGCCUGAGCUAUUGGAGGGCUUCUACUUAGUAGUAGUGUUUAAUGGAAAGAUGGUUCUACUUCUCAGGGGCAUGAGGAAAGAAGCAUUCAAAAAGACUAAUGUCACCCUUAGUUUUUACAAUGUCAUAUCCAUUACUAAGAAGGAACACAUUUUUGUAAAGAAGUUGUAUGACACUAAGGCUCAAUUUCGAGACAAUGACCAAAAUUAUAAUAUAUCAAUUGAGUGUGACAAAAUUGGUGCAAACAACCCUUGCCUCGCCAUCUACAUAGAUAGUAAGAUGGUAAUGCAAGUGAAACACCUCUGAUAAAAAUUUAUGGGAAAUCAGACCAUCUUGAUUGAUAGGCUCAUGGUAGAAGUUUUUUGAGAUGUCCAUAAUUGAUUGUUUGGUCUAACUAUUGGAAAUACAAUUUUCAUAUUCCAAACUUGUUACUCAUCUAAGAAGUUGUUUGACUUUUUGUUAUCAUUUUUAAUUUUUUGUAAUAAUGAAUCUCAUGGUCUUGGUUAUUUAUUCAUGUAUGUUAGCUGUAUUUUAUGUAGCAAAAUGCUCAAGCAAGAUGAAUUAAGCAUGACAAGAAAUGGAACCAAUUUAAAUUGCUAGAGAAUGACAUUCUUAUUAAUUAUGGUAAUGUAGUUGGACAUUGUGAUAUAUGUAGUUAAACAUGUUGACAUAUGUAGUUGGACAUUUGAAAUAUGUAGUUGGACAAUUUGAUAUAUGUUAAUAUAAAUUUAAAUGUAGCUUCACGAUAGCAGGUUUCUAAUUGAAUGACAAAGUUAUUAUAAAGUUAUCAAUAAUAUUACUAUGGACUUUCUAAGCAAUGUGGACAUACUUGAAAGUUGUGUAUAUUCUAAACCUAUCAAACUUAAUAUGGAUUUAACAGGUAUCAAGUUGAUUUUGUAUAAAAUCAUUGAAAGUUAUGUCCACAAUUGACAAUUUAAAUUUAACUUAAUUGUCUUCAAGUUGUUUGGUGCAUAAAUUUGAAGGUAAUUAAAUCCACCGUAUUCACAAAAUACUUUAACGUAACUACUAUCAAGUUAAUUAUGAACAAACUUAAAAGUUGUUAAGUCUAUGUCUAUUCCAAAGUAUCGUAUUUAAUCUGAACUUAACAAGUAUCAAGUUGAUUUUGUAUAGACUCAUAUGAAGUUGUCUAUAGUUGACAUUUUAACCUGAAUUUAACUAUUGUCAAGUUAUUUUGUGUGCAAACUUGAAGGUAGAUAAGUCCACAAUCUUCACAAAAUACCUAAACAUAACUACUAUCAAGUUAACUAUGAAUAAACUUGAAAGAUGUUAAAUUCAAGUUUAUUCCAUAGUUAUCAUAUUUAAUUUUAACUUAAUAGGUAUCGAAUUUAUUUUGUAUAGAUGUAUUGGCAUCGACUCUAUUUGAUCAUUUCCUUUUUUUAACUCCAUUUUUCAUGGUUGUAAAUGAUAUUUAAAAAUUUUAAAAUUUUCGAACUUAUUUAAAUAUUUAUUACAUCUCAUUAAAGGUUUGAAAAUAUUCAAUAAAUAAAAAAUGAAAGAAAAAUAUAUGAAAAAAAAAUAAUAAACAUACAUUAUUUAUCCAACUAUAACUUUAAGCACUAUAAACUAAAGAAAUUUGAAGAGAAUUUGUGUGUUAAAUUUGAAAAAACAUAAUGAAAAAGAGAGAAAUCAGACUAACCAAAGAAAAUAGUUCGACGGAAAAUGUGUUGAAAAAAAGGUACAUUUUUCAAAAAGAGAAAAUAUGCUGAAAAAGAAUAAAAAAGGUGACGGGGGAAGUAAUAGUUUGGAGGGAAAAUGGGUAGGGCUAGGGGUAUUUUUGUCUGAAACGGGUCACUUUUGAGAUUAUUAAAAGUAGGAGGUUACUUUUGCAAUUAUAAGGGAAUUUUGUCCCUUUUAAACGGUUAUCCCUCUAUAGUGUUACCCUCUUCUACCUCUGAACUCUCUGCUCCCAAUUCCAUCACUGCCUCUGCCUGUGGGGUUUGUGGGUUUGGUUUUGGGUAUUUGAAUCUGGGCUUUUUGUGUCGAAGGUGAUUGGAGGAGAAAUGUGGGAGUUGGGAGAUGAUAAUGUGAGAGAGAUAUAAGAUGGGUUUUGUCCUUUCAAGGGAAUGACCUUUUCCUUUCUGUGAUUUUGAAUUGUUCUUAGUUAAAAAAAUAUAAAAACCCUGAUCUUUUUUUUUAUUUGGAGAAGCUCGUGGGGUGCCAUUUGGAGGAGAAGGGAGUGUUGGAAGUGGCUGAAUUGAUUGGAAAAUGUCAUGCCAGUUUCCGCUCUCCAUUUUCUGAAGACAUGUAAAAUAAGUUCAUUCUAGGUUGAAUUUCAGGGCGAUUGCAGUUUUGAAGUUUUAGCGGUUUUUGGGGAAAUGACGAAAGAAGAGUGAUAUUUUCAGGUUAAUUCAACGACCCAUUUACCCUCUCUUGUCAUUUUCUUGGUCUCUCCAAGUUCUUUCUUUUGGGGCAUGGACACUAAGAGCCACGGGGCUGGAUUCUCGCCCUUUGUACGUGAAUACUGGGCUAGAAAAUUUAUAUUUCCGUUUUCUUUGACACGGUCAUGCUUUACGAAUUGAGGUCAGCAAUUCCGGCUCAUAACCACAUUGGAAAAAUCUUGAGUUUGGUCCUUGGACAGGGGUUUUGGAAUUGAACUUCAAUUGUAGAUUACGCUCUGCAAUUAGGAGUGUUUGGAAUGGAAGAAAAUGAAAAAGAAACACGAUCUUUGGCCUUAACGCCAACAUGGUCUGUGACACUUGUCUUGACAAUCUUUGUUGCUGUUUCGUUGCUUAUGGAGCGCUCAAUCCACCGCCUAAGUAAUUUAAGUGGCAUUCAGCAGAUAUGCUGAAAUUUUUCUUAUGCCUUAAAAUGAGACAUUUUUAUUUUUAUUUUAUUUUAUCUCUCACCAAUAUUAUAUAAGAAAAAUAAAUUGAUGAGAGGCUUCUUUACUAGGAUUGGAAAUCAUUAUUUCAGAAUGAUUCUUUUUCAUAUUUAUACUGUUUUUUUUUUUCUUUUUCUUUCUGAAGAGGGGAGGGGUGAUUUGCAAGUAAUUCCUCUCAUUUUCAAAUAUCAUGUGAUUCUGAAGAUGAUAUUAAUUUUUUCUAUUACUUGUUGCUAGGUGCCCAUUAGUCUAUCUCUUAUUUGCCUAUCAAAAAAAAAAAAAAUGACCUUCCUAUUACUUUUUGAUUGAUAUUAGCAGGAUUGUAAUGGACCUAAUGGCUACUUGGUAUCUAAAUUUUAUGUUAUAACUUUGGUAAGUCCAUGCUCUUUAUAAUAUGAUAUGUAGUACCAUGCAUAUACUCUAUUGCAUUGCUUUCAUGUGUCCUGGUUCAUAUGAUUUUUCUGAAUGUUUAUGCUUUGUAUCUUCACUCAUAUGGCAUAACAGAAUCAUGUUGGGGCCCAUGGAAUCAAUGAUCGAGACUGAUAAUUAGAAUCUUUAAUAUAUUCCUUCUACGGACAUUGUGAAAGGGAUUUUUUAUCAGUCAGAUUUAUAGAAUUCUAGAAUAUGGUUCUUGUUCCUUUCUGCAUUGUUCUUGUUUGAUCUUGUGUGCCUUUUAUAAUUGUUAAAUAAAGGUGUAAAAAAUCGAAACUAGGAUUAAGAUAUUAAGAAAUGAAGCUUAUUUAUAAAUGAAGGUACAUAUUAACCAAUAUUAACUAACAGUCUUAUUAUUUAGAAAGGAUUUUAAGUUAAUUUUUUCAAACAAUUUUAAUACUUAAAAAUAAUUUAAUUUAAAAUCAAUUUAAGUCAUUGAAAGAAUAUGUUUUAUUAAAUAUUUAGAAAUUUUUGUUUUUUUAUAUAAGAGUUUAUGCUUUAUGUUAUUGGUGAGAAAAGAAAGAGAAAAUUUGUUCAAUUUGGAUGUCACUUGUUUUACAUGUUUAGCCAUCAGCUGCUUGGUCACCAAGAAAAUGUAGGAAAUGGGAAAGAAUUUAAUUCUGAAUCCUAGUGUCAUUUAUAAUGCGGUAUAUCUUAGUUAUGCUGUAUAUUAUCAGCAGGAAAAUGGGGAAAAAUAAAGGAACUGAAAUAUUGGUUGUGUUGUAUUUCUUACUUCAUUUCAUUGCAGAGAAAAUGUAGGAAGAUUUACUUUGUUGUUAUUUGUUAUAUUUUUAAUCAUGUUUUGUUUGGUUAUCAUGGACAUGUAGGAAAAGAAAUUUCUUGAAUCUCUAGUGUUUGCUGUCUUGUAAAUUUUAAUUGUAGUCUGUUUUUGUUUCUCAGAAAAUGUUGCAAAACAAGGAAAAUUUAUUGAACCAGUAUUCUUAUUCGUUCUUUUCUUUUCAAUGAGAACUUCUUAGUUUCUAGGAAAAUGUAGGAAAGGAAUAGAAAUGUCUUGGAUUUGAUUUUGCUGUUUGUCUUGUUGGUUUUCUGUAAAUUAUAUUCUGUUUGAUUGCUGAGAAGAAUUAGGAUAAGGAAUUCAAAUUUCGGGGUUUUGCAUUCUUUGGGACAUGAGGAGUUAAAAAUCCUUAGUCAUGUGAGCAAAUAAAACAGAACUGGUUGGAUUAACAGAGCUGAACCCUUAAUUUGCCUUUUGAGAUUAAAUUUGUAGUUAUCUUUAAAAGAAAAAUCGAAUUGAGCUUUCGUUAUUUUAAUCCCAAAAUAAUGGACAGCUUAAGUUUUAGAAAUUUAUAGUCCAUAGUUUCCUCCAAAACCAAAUGGGGAGGUAGGGUGGUUUCAAAUUCUUGUCUUUCCCCAUCUGCUGUAGUUUCAAAUUGAUAGCUAAUGCUAUCCCAUAAAUGUAAGAAUUGAACUCCGAUCAGCUCGGUCAAUGAGAAUUGAUUGUCAUUCUUUCUGUUUCCUUCUGAAUUUGGGGAUGUGAUCUGGGGUUCCCUUUAACUGAUUGAGGCAAUGCCUUAAGUUAGAGUCUCUUCAACAUUUCUCAUUUUCUGGAUGGUAUUGGUAAUUUGGUAGGCAAUACUUUUUAGAGGAAGGCUUUGUUGAUACCAAAUUAUGUUUUAAUUGGAUGUGGAAUUAUUCAUUUUUAAUUGUUUUCUAACAUUUUUUUUUUCCCUUUUAAUAUGAUUGCAAACUCCAGUCUUUUAAGGAGCCCUUUCAGGUUGAAGUAUGUUUUACCUGUAAAUUUAGUGAAAAUGCUCUGAGCGUGUUGGUCUGCUCUCUCUCUCUCUCUCACACACAUCUGCUUACAUUCCUCUUGUUAUCUUGGCACUCUGAUGUGUGUGGAGAACAUGUUGAACAAAAUAUGUCAUGGGUUUAGUUGUGACAUAUGUGUCAGGACGCAUGUCUGAGAGGAGUUUCUGACAAAGAUAAGAAGAUGUUUAUGGUUCAUGAAGAGUUCCAUUGGAUGUCUUCAUCCUCUGUUUCUCUGUUACAAGUAUAUUUCUAAAUGAGUGUAGUGCAUGUCUAGUAAGCUAAUUUACUUGUAAUAUUUGAGCCUGAGGUAGUUGAUAUAGAGAAAUUAACAUCUUUGUAGUUUAGCCAUGACCCAAUUGUUGAAGAAGCUGAUGUGUAGGCUGUAAAUAUGCAGGUUGAUAGUUCUUUCCUAAUUAUAUUCUUGCUAUAAAUAUGCAGGCUAAUAUGUAGGCCAAUAAUUUUCUUAGAAUAGUGGCCAGACUAAUUUGAUAGUUUUCUAGAAUAAUUUCAUAGAGCUUUAUAUAUAUCCCUAUUGUAAUCUUAGUAUUUGUAUGAAUAAAAUUUAAAUUUCUCCGCAUGGUAUUAGAGCUGGUUAGAGUUAUGCUCUAAGGGUGUUUUUUUCCCUUUUUAUUGGCUAGGGGGAGUGGUGUGGGCUAUUCUAUGGUAGAAUCUGGUGGCCUUCAUCGCCCUCUUACUCUUCCUUCAUUCUGAAGACUUUCUUUUCUUAUCUUUGAUCUGCUUUAUCUAGAUUUUCCCUUUGAAAAACUUGGCCUCAAUUGCCUAGUAUCUCUCUCAGAUUUCUAGUUUUUGUUACCCAGAAAUUUUUUACUACAACCUAUGGCAUUAAUAUUUUAACUUCCUUUUCUGUAGUCCUUGCUGUUGUUUAUCACCUUGUCCAAACUCAUGAUCAAUUUAUCUUCUUCCCAAACCACAGUCAGUCAGUGACCCUUACUUUUCCUACUGAAAAUAUUCCCAAAUCACAACCUGCAAACUCAAUGGCCACACUUUUCUUAGAUGGUCAAAAUCUGCCUAGUUAUUCAUUAAAAGCAAAAAGAAGAUGGGCGAUUUGUUAGAGAAAGUUCCCAUUCCUAAGGAUGAUGAUCCUAAGUUUGAGACUUGGGAAGCUGAAAAUUCCAUGAUCAUGCCUUGGUUGCUUCAUUCUAUACAACCAGAAAUCAGCAAACCACUUCCCUUCCUUUCAACGACUAAGGAGAUUUGGGAAGCUAUGACUCAUUCAUAUUCAAAGGUGGGGAUAAAGGCUCAAGUUUAUGACUUAAAGAAUUAAAUUUACUGUAUGAAGCAAUAGUUGUUAUCUGUGACGGAGUAUCAUGAUAUGCUAGAAGGCUUAUGACUAGAACUGGACCACUAUCAACAAUUCAUAAUGGAAUCUGUUGCUGUUCAACUGCAGAAGUUGAUUGAAGAAGACAAGAAUUUUGCGUUCCUGGCUGGUUUAAAUCCUGAACUAGAUCAAGGGUUCGAGUUCUAGGAAAAGAACCUUUUCCCUCAAUGAAAGAAGCUCUGCCUAUGUACAUGCAGAAGAGAGUUGUUGGAUUGUGAUGUUGGGAAAACC